rnacentral:rRNA from 1 species
UACAGAGGGUGCGAGCGUUAAUCGGAAUUACUGGGCGUAAAGCGUGCGUAGACGGUUAUCUAAGUCGGAUGUGAAAGCCCCGGGCUCAACCUGGGAAUUGCCUUCGAUACUGUAGAGCUUGAGACCGGAAGAGGUAAGUGGAACUGCGAGUGUAGAGGUGAAAUUCGUAGAUAUUCGCAAGAACACCAGUGGCGAAGGCGGCUUACUGGUCCGGUUCUGACGCUGAGGCGCGAAAGCGUGGGGAGCAAACAGG